GACGUAGGGUGCGAGCGUUGUCCGGAUUUAUUGGGCGUAAAGAGCUCGUAGGCGGCUCGUCGCGUCGACCGUGAAAACCCGCGGCUUAACUGCGGGCUUGCGGUUGAUACGGGCGGGCUAGAGUUCGGUAGGGGAGACUGGAAUUCCUGGUGUAGCGGUGAAAUGCGUAGAUAUCUGGAGGAGCACCGGUGGCGAAGGCGGCAUCCUGGACCGGCAUUGACGCUGAGGCGCGAAAGCUAGGGGAGCAAACGGG
rnacentral:rRNA from 1 species